UUAUGGGCUGGGCUACCACACGUGCUACAAUGGUGGUGACAGUGGGCAGCGAGACCACGAGGUCGAGCUAAUCUCCAAAAGCCAUCUCAGUUCGGAUUGCACUCUGCAACUCGAGUGCAUGAAGUUGGAAUCGCUAGUAAUCGCAGAUCAGCAUGCUGCGGUGAAUACGUUCCCGGGCCUU
rnacentral:rRNA from 1 species